rnacentral:rRNA from 1 species
GGAGGAGCUUGCGUCACAUUAGUUAGUUGGUGGGGUAAAGGCCUACCAAGACUAUGAUGUGUAGCCGGGCUGAGAGGUUGAACGGCCACAUUGGGACUGAGACACGGCCCAAACUCCUACGGGAGGCAGCAGUAGGGAAUUUUCGGCAAUGGAGGAAACUCUGACCGAGCAACGCCGCGUGAACGAUGAAGUAUUUCGGUACGUAAAGUUCUUUUAUUAGGGAAGAAUAAAUGAUGGAAAAAUCAUUCUGACGGUACCUAAUGAAUAAGCCCCGGCUAACUAUGUGCCAGCAGCCGCGGUAAUACAUAGGGGGCAAGCGUUAUCCGGAAUUAUUGGGCGUAAAGGGUGCGUAGGCGGUUAAAUAAGUUUAUGGUCUAAGUGCAAUGCUCAACAUUGUGAUGCUAUAAAAACUGUUUAGCUAGAGUAAGAUAGAGGCAAGUGGAAUUCCAUGUGUAGUGGUAAAAUGCGUAAAUAUAUGGAGGAACACCAGUAGCGAAGGCGGCUUGCUGGGUCUUUACUGACGCUGAGGCACGAAAGCGUGGGGAGCAAACAGGAUUAGAUACCCUGGUAGUCCACGCCGUAAACGAUGAGUACUAAACGUUGGGUAAAACCAGUGUUGAAGUUAACACAUUAAGUACUCCGCCUGAGUAGUACGUACGCAAGUAUGAAACUUAAAGGAAUUGACGGGACUCCGCACAAGCGGUGGAUCAUGUUGUUUAAUUCGAAGGUACCCGAAAAACCUCACCAGGUCUUGACAUGCUUCUGCAAAGCUGUAGAAACACAGUGGAGGUUAUCAGUUGCACAGGUGGUGCAUGGUUGUCGUCAGCUCGUGUCGUGAGAUGUUGGGUUAAGUCCCGCAACGAGCGCAACCCUUAUUGUUAGUUACCAGCACGUAAUGGUGGGGACUUUAGCAAGACUGCCAGUGAUAAAUUGGAGGAAGGUGGGGACGACGUCAAAUCAUCAUGCCCCUUAUGACCUGGGCUACAAACGUGAUACAAUGGCUGUUACAAAGGGUAGCUGAAGCGCAAGUUUUUGGCGAAUCUCAAAAAAACAGUCUCAGUUCGGAUUGAAGUCUGCAACUCGACUU